CCCUCCCAGGACUGAAUGAAGUCUUCUAGCCAAAAAGAGUUGACAGAAAGCACUAUUCACAAAUUCUCCAGUUGAGAGUCAGCAAGGCAUCGAGGAGCUAUGAAAUCUGAUUUCUCAGCCUAGAACAUUCUUUCUUUGGCUUCAGAAGUUUAACCAAAAGAUGAUUCAAAUUAAAAAUAACAAAUUCAAAAUAAGAAGUCUUCAUUGAGCUUGUAUAAUAGGAAAAAAAGAAAUAGAGAAAGUUUAUGUCACUCUGGAUACUUGCUUUUCCAGCAGGAUUAGAUGAGCUGCCUCUGAAGAAGCCCAUCCCAUCCCCUUGACUCUAAACAGAGCUGAGGCAACAUGUGUCUAACUUUCAGAUAGCUAAACAUGGCCAAGGAAAGUCCACCUGUAGUCCUCUAAGUCCCUUGACUUUCCCUUCGAUGCCUUUGAAGAAUGUUUGCCUUCUCUGCGCUCACAAGCACUUCACCGUCAGUGGGAAACAGGCAAUUGAUUGAUGUACAAGCCACUUCCCUCUGGGCUUGAACUGUGAAGGACGUGGUCAUCCACAGCUGUAGUAACUCUGAGAUGGCAGAGGAAGUGAAGGAGUG
rnacentral:lncRNA from 1 species